UACGUAGGGUGCGAGCGUUAAUCGGAAUUACUGGGCGUAAAGCGUGCGCAGGCGGUUCGUUGUGUCGGCGGUGAAAGCCCCGGGCUCAACCUGGGAAUGGCCGUUGAAACUGGCGAACUGGAGUGUGGCAGAGGGGGGUGGAAUUCCGCGUGUAGCAGUGAAAUGCGUAGAUAUCAGGAGGAAUACCGAUGGCGAAGGCAGGUCUCUGGGCUGACACUGACGCUCAUGCACGAAAGCGUGGGGAGCAAACAGGG
rnacentral:rRNA from 1 species